rnacentral:rRNA from 1 species
AACGAACGCUGGCGGCAUGCCUAACACAUGCAAGUCGAACGAGACCUUCGGGUCUAGUGGCGCACGGGUGCGUAACGCGUGGGAACCUGCCCUUAGGUUCGGAAUAACUCCCCGAAAGGGGUGCUAAUACCGGAUAAUGUCUUCGGACCAAAGAUUUAUCGCCUUUGGAUGGGCCCGCGUUGGAUUAGCUAGUUGGUAGGGUAAAAGCCUACCAAGGCGACGAUCCAUAGCUGGUCUGAGAGGAUGAUCAGCCACACUGGGACUUAGACACGGCCCAGACUCCUACGGGAGGCAGCAGUGGGGAAUAUUGGACAAUGGGCGAAAGCCUGAUCCAGCAAUGCCGCGUGAGUGAUGAAGGCCUUAGGGUUGUAAAGCUCUUUUACCCGGGAUGAUAAUGACAGUACCGGGAGAAUAAGCUCCGGCUAACUCCGUG